AAUUUUGCAUAAAUAUCUUGGUUGUUGAAUUUGCAAGAGACUUUUUUUACCAAAAUAAUACAUAUAUUCAGAGGUUUUUGGACGGUUAUAUCUCUUGUCCUAAAUAUAAGCAAAAUUAUGAGAGAUAUCGUUAUCCAAUGAUAUAGGCAUUGUCUGAAUGCCCUAUUAAUAGAACCAAGCUGCAAUUCAAGUCGUGAUGCAAUUUAAAUUGCAAGCAGUUGAGUUAUAAUAGGAGUUUAAUCUCCACUAUUUGGAUAGAAAAUUGAGAGGAGACGGUGAAGAGAGUGGGGAGAGGAGAAUGAAGAAGACGAACGA
rnacentral:lncRNA from 1 species